rnacentral:other from 1 species
GUUCUCAUACAGCAAUCAAAAAUCAAAUUUAAAUCGUCAAAUUAAACAAAAAUGAGAUCUG